rnacentral:lncRNA from 1 species
CCAUGACCGGGAUAAUGAUGUAGCACUUGUGCCAUAGAAUGAUGCCUCCUUGAACUGCAUCUCCUAAUGUCCUUUCCCCAACGCCUCCCGGGAGCUGGAGCUCAUAGCCUUCAUAUUUCCGAUCAACGAGCUGCUCUACCGAGACACUAGCAUAGCCAGUUGGAAUCUCCAUGCCAUGACUCGCUUGUGUUGCCCAGCUUGGUAAGGCACUCGCGUACGCUACCUGUACAUAUAGCAGAAAUAAAGAUGUUAUUAAACUCCAAUCCUGAGGCGUGGUGGAUCGAUGGAUUGAG